UCCCUGGUGGUCUAGUGGUUAGGA
rnacentral:piRNA from 9 species